rnacentral:rRNA from 1 species
AUUGAACGCUGGCGGCAGGCCUAACACAUGCAAGUCGAGCGGAUGACGGGAGCUUGCUCCUUGAUUCAGCGGCGGACGGGUGAGUAAUGCGUAGGAAUCUGCCUGGUAGUGGGGGACAACGUUUCGUAAGGAAAGCUAAUACCGCAUACGUCCUACGGGAGAAAGCCGGGGACCUUCGGGCUUAGCGCUACCAGAGGAGCCUAGGUCGGAUUAGCUAGUUGGUGGGGUAAUGGCUCACCAAGGCGACGAUCCGUAACUGGUCUGAGAGGAUGAUCAGUCACACUGGAACUGAGACACGGUCCAGACUCCUACGGGAGGCAGCAGUGGGGAAUAUUGGACAAUGGGCGAAAGCCUGAUCCAGCCAUGCCGCGUGUGUGAAGAAGGUCUUCGGAUUGUAAAGCACUUUAAGUUGGGAGGAAGGGCAGUAAGCUAAUACCUUGCUGUUUUGACGUUACCGACAGAAUAAGCACCGGCUAACUCUGUGCCAGCCGCCGCAGUAACAC